UAGAUGGGACAGCACUGGAUUCAGACGUGCCAUAACUUCCGGAUGUGGCCUGAAAAGGCAUUUACAAGUUUUUUUGGGAUGGCACAGGUGUUCCUGAUCGCUAAUUCCUCACACCUGCAUGAUGCCACCCCAAACGGACUUUAAGAAAACCUGUCAACAGCAGCAGCUUGUGAAGAAACCCACAACCCUGCGAUUGUCAUAAGAAUCUUCAAUGCAUGCACACCAAGAAAUUACAUUUUCUUUACAUCUUCGCAGGCCGAGUGCAGCACAGAUGGCAUCACGAGCCAUGUGUCUAAACUCUCGACUGUACACGUGCAUGUACGAAAUUCAUCUGUGUUUGUUUUCCCACCAAUAUGAAGCAGAGGUCUAUAGACUCCCGCUUUCACCAGCGAAAGAGCCCCUGAUUUGUAAACCCUUUCAUUGGCCGGUGGAGGAGUUGUACCACGGUAAAGGCCAGAGGAGGGACGGGGAGGCCGCUCAUAAUGGACCGCUGUGUAUGGGAGGGUCGUGGGAAAGCAUCGGCACGCUGUUAUUGUGAUAUUUCAACCAGGGCUCGGGACUGACCCUCCUAAAGACACAUUGUGGUGACUGCCGUGCUAAUGGGGGAGCCGUGCGCUCACACCACAAUAGAUGCAUCUCCACGAGGAGGCCUCCCCCACCGCAGACCCGAGGGGAGUUCAUGCGAGGACAGGCUGAUUUUAAUGCAGUUAGUAGGUGAAUGGGUUUGUGCGCUCACUUAAUGGAUGAGCUGCAUCAUUAGGAGCCUUGGAUGCGGCGUCGUAUUGGCCUCUUAUAGGGUCUGUGCCCGUAUGUGAACGCUGCAACUAAGAUGGUGUGGUUCAGUGUGUUUUUAGUCUAGAAUAUAUGUUGUUUUUGCUCCUAUUUAGAGUUAGCGAUGUGUUCAAACUGUGUUUAAAAAAUACUGAAAUUCAAUUCAAUUAAAAAAAAAUGAAUUGCAUGAAUUAUAUUGUCUUUGAAUUACAUUCCAUUUUAAUUCUACUUCCCUAAAUUCACAUUUUAUUCAAUUAUAAUUCUGCC
ensembl:lncRNA